rnacentral:lncRNA from 1 species
CUCUGGAUAUGAAUGGCAUUUUCCAUCCCAACUAUAUUGGAAUUCUCUUGGAUCAAUGUAUUGGGUUUUUUGUUUUGUUUUGUUUUGUUUUUUAGAUGGCAUAGUCUUUUUUUUUUACAUGACCAAACCGUUAUUUUGCUGUACAAAAAGAAUCAGACUCUGAAAUAUUGUACAAUUAGCUUGUGAAGGAAAUAAAAAAUGCAGGUGGGCAUAAAUAUAGGGAUUGGGAAUUCAAUGUAAUGGUUUUUAGUCAUCUCCUAGAGUUCUUUCUCUGGGCAUAGCUGGUUCAGUUCAUUACUGCUCCAUUGGAAAUGAUUUGGUUGAUCUCAUUGCUGAGGAUGGCCAGGUCCAUCAGAACUGGUCAUCAUAUAGUAUUGUUGUUGAAGUAUAUAAUGAUCUCCUGGUCCUGCUCAUUUCACUCAGCAUCAGUUCAUGUAAGUCUCUCCAGGCCUUUCUGAAAUUAUCCUGUUGGUCAUUUCUUACAGAACAGUAAUAUUCCAUAAUAUUCAUAUACCACAAUUUAUUCAGCCAUUCUCCAACUGAUGGGCAUCCACUCAGUUUCCAGUUUCUAGCCACUACAAAGAGGGCUGCCACAAACAUUCUUGCACAUACAGGUCCCUUUCCUUUCUUUAUGAUCUCUUUGGGAUAUAAGCCCAGUAGUAACACUGCUGGAUCAAAGGGUAUGCACAGUUUGAUAACUUUUUGAGCAUAGUUCCAAAUUGCUCUCCAGAAUGGUUGGAUUCGUUCACAACUCCACCAACAAUGCAUCAAUGUCCCAGUUUUCCCACAUCCCCUCCAACAAUCAUCAUUAUUUUUUCCUGUCAUCUUAGCCAAUCUGACAGGUGUGUAGUGGUAUCUUAGAGUUGUUUUAAUUUGAAUUUCUCUGAUUAAUAAUGACUUGGAGCAUCUUUUCAUAUGACUAGAAAUAGCUUCAAUUUCUUCAUCUGAGAAUUGUCUGUUCAUAUCCUUUGACCAUUUUUCAAUUGGAGAAUGGUUUGAUUUUUUAUAAAUUAGAGUUAAUUCUCUAUAUAUUUUGGAAAUGAGGCCUUUAUCAGAACCUUUGACUAUAAAAAUAUUUUCCCAGUUUAUUGCUUCCCUUCUAAUCUUUUCUGCAU